rnacentral:rRNA from 1 species
GACGAACGCUGGCGGCGUGCCUAAUACAUGCAAGUUGAGCGCUGAAGGUUGGUACUUGUACCAACUGGAUGAGCAGCGAACGGGUGAGUAACGCGUGGGGAAUCUGCCUUUGAGCGGGGGACAACAUUUGGAAACGAAUGCUAAUACCGCAUAAAAACUUUAAACACAAGCUUUAAGUUUGAAAGAUGCAAUUGCAUCACUCAAAGAUGAUCCCGCGUUGUAUUAGCUAGUUGGUGAGGUAAAGGCUCACCAAGGCGAUGAUACAUAGCCGACCUGAGAGGGUGAUCGGCCACAUUGGGACUGAGACACGGCCCAAACUCCUACGGGAGGCAGCAGUAGGGAAUCUUCGGCAAUGGACGAAAGUCUGACCGAGCAACGCCGCGUGAGUGAAGAAGGUUGUCGGAUCGUAAAACUCUGUUGGUAGAGAAGAACGUUGGUGAGAGUGGAAAGCUCAUCAAGUGACGGUAACUACCCAGAAAGGGACGGCUAACUACGUG